GAAGGUGGAGCUCAGUGGUAGAGCUCAUGUUCAGCGUGCGUGAGGUCCUGGGUUCAAUCCCCAGUACCUCCA
rnacentral:tRNA from 1 species